rnacentral:rRNA from 1 species
AUCGAACGCUGGCGGCAUGCUUAACACAUGCAAGUCGAACGACUGGCGGACGGGUGAGUAAUGACUGGGACACUGCCUUAUGGUGGGGGAUAACUACUGGAAACGGUAGCUAAUACCGCAUCCCAUCGGAUCUGCCCAGAUGGGCUUAGCUGUUAGGUGGGGUAAAGGCUCACCUAGGCGACGAUCCCUAGCUGGUCUGAGAGGAUGACAAGCGGCACUGGAAGGGAGACACGGUCAAUAGUCCUACGAGAGGGACCAGUGGGGAAUAUUGAGCAGGAGGCGGGAGCAUGAUACAGCCGUGGCACGUGUAUGGAGGCGGCCUUCGGGUUGGAAAGUCCGUUCAGCGGGGAGGCGUUAGCCGCAGAAGAAGCACCGGCUAACUCCGUGCCAGCAGCCGCGGUAAUAC